GAUUUCCUGUUUCCAGAGAGGCGGUCCACAGCAUGAGGUUGGAAAUUGCUGUGAGACUAAUCCUUAACAGUGAGGACCUAAAAGACUUGUGUCACUUCUGUGGAGAGAUGGAAAGUGACACGGAUGUGAACUGGGUAGGAAAGUUUUUAGAAUUAUUCAAAGACUUAGUGUUAGUAAACUAAAUGAAGAGGACAAGUUUUAUCUAAUCUUAUCUUGCGUAAACAAGCUAUGAUAUGAUCCUCCAGCAGUUGGAAUAUAAGGGAAUCUAAAAUGAUUGAUUAUAUAUUGUAAUUGUAAAGACAUAUUUUUCUAAAAAAAA